UUUAGAUAUUCUAAUUUAAGCCAUGCUUUUGAGAUUUAGACGAUUCUAUCAAGGAUGCAUCGCUAAGUAUGUUGCAAUUAAUUUACAAAAAUGUAUUUACAACUAAACAAUGAAAUGUUUAAGAACUAAGGGUGUUAACUGUUGAUUAAUUUGCAUUUAAUUAAUACAGCACAAAUCCACUGAAAUGGUAAAGCGUGAUAGCUUAAUAUGUUUGCCUAGUUAUCGAAGAGAAUAUUACGGCAUGCCAAUCAUCUUUAAUCCAAGGCUUGAUUUUGGCCAAAUUUGCAAAAAUCGUGUACUUAGGUGUCAACCACAGUCAGUGUGCAUUUUUAUGCAAAACAAGACAUCUUAUAAAGAGUAAUGAUGUGGUCCGGUCUCAAAAAAGGAUAAAAGGAAUAAAAACUUGUUCCAUAAUACAAUGUUUCGAUCGGGCAACAGGUUUUUUCGAUGUGGGCAGAGAUCUUUUUUUUGCUGGAUGAUACACCUCAUUUUCCAAGAAUCGCAGAUGAGGUGGGGCUGGCAGUUCUGCAAUGGGACUUGAUUCAUGCAAACGUACUUCAUAAUCCCGACAUAAUUUGGAAUGGUAUUACCACCGGGUUACUGCGCAGUUCUACUUGACCAAGCAACGGAAUUGCUGAAAAUCAGGUCUGGUCAUUAUCAAAAGUCUGAAAGUCCGACAUCUGAUUUACUUCAAGCAGGGGCGACAAAGUCAAGUAGCGGAACAAUAGUCUCGUUUGAGGAGUAAUUAUCACAACAGGAGAAUAAAUAAUUACGUUUAUUAUUCGACUCCAGGGAUAUGGUUUCGGUGAAGAUAUUAAGAAUGCGUCAAAGAUAAGUAAAAGGACCGAUUCGGACGGAUCUCCUGCCCUCAACAUUUCGAAACUUUAAUGCAGAAAUCAAAAUUAGUGAUUUCGUCACCAUGCAAUACAACUGUUCUGUAUAAUCCCAUGGAUGUACAGUGUCAACUUGAGAGAGAUCUGGGACAUGAAACCUCAACGUCUCAUCCGAUCCUUUUCAUCGUCCCAUUUACGCUUCAGAGAUCGAUCGUCAAUCAAGUCAAUAAAUUGAGGAGUGACUAAUUAAAUGUAGAAAAUUCACGCAGUAUAUUAAUAAGUUUGAACUCAUGAACAAAUAAAUUAUUCACCAAGACUCGUAAAUAAUGAUGGUUCUUAUGUUACAGAACUGGCCGUGUAGCAUAGCAGUACAGUCACCUCCGGUGAACUGACACCUGUAAUCCUCCGUCAUUGUCAGCCUUUUUUUGGAUGACACCGUGACCUUUGAUUAAACCAUUUGUUUGGGUGGCCCAACCCAAGCAAGCCCAGGAUUGACUGACGUGGGGACCUGACACCGAAAACGAGGACCUUUUCAUCAAAAGUAAACCGUGGUCAUCAAGUAUGCAAGCGGGCAUCCGCGUUGACAAUACAGCAUCCCACCAAGUUGUGCAUCCGUAUUUUUAUACACAUACGUAAAUAACAUGGGUACAUAUGCGAAACAUUUGCCAUUGAUUCUGAUUCUAAAAAAUAUCUUGUGUUUUUAAGCAGGCCUUCUAGAAUUCCUUCAAUUCACAAUAUUCUACCGGAUCAGACUGUCAAAUCAUGAAAUGUAAAUAUGUGGCCUACCAAACACUUGGUUAAAUUUGAAUUUGAUCCGUAAAUAAAACUUAGCAACACUUGGCCAGCUCAAUAAAAAACAAGGCUUCAAUGGCCUCCCGGAAAUUGAUGACUUUUUAUUCACCAUAAUGAAUUACACUUUCCGGGUGAUAGUAAAUACAUAACACGAGUCUAUUUGUACUGUACAUACGCCAUGCAUACGUUACCAAUUCUUUCAAUAAAAUUACAAUACAAGUCUCCUGUUACA